UACGAAGGGGGCUAGCGUUGUUCGGAAUCACUGGGCGUAAAGCGCACGUAGGCGGAUUUUUAAGUCAGGGGUGAAAUCCUGGAGCUCAACUCCAGAACUGCCUUUGAUACUGAGGAUCUUGAGUUCGGGAGAGGUGAGUGGAACUGCGAGUGUAGAGGUGAAAUUCGUAGAUAUUCGCAAGAACACCAGUGGCGAAGGCGGCUCACUGGCCCGAUACUGACGCUGAGGCACGAAAGCGUGGGGAGCAAACAGGG
rnacentral:rRNA from 1 species